GUAAGUAGACCUCCUUUCUCGCGACGGGGUAGCGGUUCCGGAAUCCCCCAGAACCGUGAGUCCUCCUGAGGAAGCCGUCGGGGGCCUGGCCCUGUUAGGCACUGUCUCCCAGAGUCCCCCUUUCCCACUAGCCGCCUCCGCGUAGCCCGAGACCGCGUCAGGAGUUGCGUCUUCCUGGCUGCGCCUUUUUCGGGACGUCCCCGCGCCGUCCGCCGCCUCUCACUGUCCCCGGAGCGCGCGCCACCCGCCCGCUUCCCACAGGCGGUUUCACGCGGGUCCCCGGCGCCGCGCGCGGCUCCGGCCCUGGCGACUCUUGGGACACCCGAGUAGUUGCGUGAUAGCGGGGCUGUCCUGAGGAUUCGGCGUGCCAGGUUGAGAGCCCGUCGCGUGCCGGGGACUCGCGGCCACUGUCGCUUCCCGUCCGCCCCUCUUCUCCUGGGAUUUGGGGAGGUGGGCGGGAAAGAGAACUGGUCGGCGGCCACCCUUGCCGACUCCUCCUCAGCAGGUCGCAGUUGAAAGGUCAUCCUUCUAGAGCCCACUCCCCUGGCCCGGCGGGCAAGGAUAGGUCUCCAAGUCCCACCCUCUCACAGCGCUCGGUUCUGUUCCACUUUAGAACAGGUCGCAGUUGCCACUACGUAAACAGCUCCCCAUAGAGAGAGUAUUUUAUUCAUUCCGAUUGCUCCGUCUUUUAUCUAGAACAGAGUCUGGUACAAUGGCUCUCGAAAUGUGGUCUGGUGACCUCAGGGUCGCUGAGACCCUUCUAGGGAAUUCACAAAGUCAAAACAACAUUGAUAACGUUUCUUACGUGUUAUUUGCCGUUUUUACCCUCAUUCUGUUGGAAAUGUACAGAGUUUUCAAGCGGCUAGAUGACGAUUGACUAGCUGGUAAAAUGUAUCCUGGAGUAUCCUUGUGUUUUCUAGAAUUUUCUAAGGUAGUAGGUUUAGGGCAUAAAUACGUGCGUUUUCAGAGAUUAAUGCAAUUUGCUCUCAGUACUCCUAGUGUGUUUCUAGGAGGUAGGUUAGGUAGGUGGUGAUAGCCUCCCUUCAAGGGGAACAAACUUGCUAAAUAAAUAGAACAAACCAGCCCAUAGUGUACAAACCACAUCCGAGGCUCCUGGUUAGAAAAUUUUGCAGCAAAGAGGUACGAGAGCAGAAGGGAAAAUCCCCAAACUCUCACAAGCGCAGAAACCCAUGAUCAGUGUCGUUGGGCUGAAUUAUACUCAUUAUAAUAGUAAAAAAAAAAAAAAAAAAAAAACACCACUCCUGGGUGAAGAUUUAAGAUACUAAUAAGACAUGCAGUGUAUGUACUAGCAUAUACAACCACAGCGCACAUGGCGACAGAAAACCAGAGAACGUGCUUAAUAGCAGCACCCGUUCUCCCCGCUUCAUGAAUGAUCCUGUGAGACUCCUACAAAGGGAGUUUCCCCAGUGUCAGUGCAUGCUGUCUCACCUUUGAGCAGCCCGCUCUGAUCAGCUGUGAGGGUGUACUUUCGCUUUGCAAUAAACUCUUUUGCUUGCUUUUACUUUGGACUUCAAAAUUAUUUUGCACCGCGAAGUCCAGAACCUCAACCGGCCCACCAGCUACAGCUACACUUACAAGCUAUCUUCGGUUAUACCUGCUCUAAUCUCUGUAACCUCCUUGUCACCUAAUAAAUGAGUUUUUUUGAAAUCCUGAAGUUGUUUUAAUACCUAUAUGGGAACAUAAGAAAAAAGUUCAAUUUGUUGGCUUGUCUCGCAAGAAUAUUUUUUAAUAUAUUGAGAACAUUUUAAAAUAUUUAAACUUUAUCUAAAAGGGAUACUCAUUUAUUCAUUUAAUUUUUUUUUUUUCAGAGUCUCGCUCUAUCACCCAGACUGGAAUGCAGUGGCACAAUCUGGGUUCACUGCAGCCUCCUCCCCCUGGGUUCAAGCAAUUCUCCUGCCUCAGCCUCCCGAGUAGCUGGGAUUACAGGCGCCCGCCACCAUGCCCGGCUAAUUUUUGUAUUUUUAGUAAACACAGAGUUUCACCAUUUUGGCCAGGCUGGUCUCGAACUCCUGACCUCAGGUGAUCCGCCCACCUCAGCCUCCCAAAGUGCUGGGAUUACAAGCGCGAGCCACUGCGCCCAGCCAGAAAGGGAUACUCUUUUAGAAUUUAAUUUUGUUAUUUUAUUAUUAUUUUUUGAGAUGGUGUCUCGCUCUGUUGCCCAGGAUGGAGUGCAGUGGUGUGAUCUCGGCCCACUGCAACCUCCGCCUCCCAGGUUCAAGCAGUUCUCCUGCCUCAGCCUCCCGAGUAGCUGGGAUUACAGGUGCGUGCCACCACACCCGGCUAAUUUUUUGUAUUUUUAGUAGAGAUGUGGUUUCACCACGUUGGCCAGGAUGGCCUCGGUCUCCUGACCUCAUGAUCUGCCCGCCUCAGCCACUCAAAGUGCUGGGAUUACAGGUGUGAGCCACCACGCCCUGCCUAGAAUUUAAUAUUUUGUCGUCCGGGCGCGGUGGUUUAUGCCUAUAUUCUAGCACUUUGGGAGGCCAAGGCGGGCAGAUUGUCUGAGCUCAGGAGUUCCAGACCAACCUGGCCAACAUGGUGAAACCCCGUCUCUACUAAAAAUACAAAAUAUUCGGACAGGCACGGUGGCUCCCACCUGUAAUCACAGCACUUUGGGAGGCCAAGGUGCACAGACCACAAGGUCAGGAUAUCAAGACCAGCCUGGCCAACCUAUGACUCUACUAAAAAAAUACAGAAAUUAGCCGGGCAUGGUGGCGUGCGCCCGUAAUCCCAGCUACUCGGGAGGCUGAGGCAGGAGAAUUGCUGGGACCCGGGAGGCGGAGGUUGCAGUGAGCCGAGAUUUCACCACUGCACUCCAGCGUGGGCGACAGAGCAAGACUCCACCUCAAAAAAAAAAAAAUACAAAAAAUUUAGCCGGGCAUGGUGGCACACCUGUAGUCCCAACUACUUGGGAAGCUGAGGCAGGAGAAUUGCUUGAACCUAGGAGGCGAAGGUUGCAGUGAGCCAAGAUCGCACCACUGUACUCCAGCCUGGGUGACAGAGCAAGACUCUGUCUCCAAAAAAAAAAGGAAUUUAAUAUUUUAUCUUUAAAUUAAAUUUUGUUUUAUGUAUAGUUUUUUAAUUUUAGGUUCUUCCAUUGGCUUAAAAAGGGGAUACUAGAAGAUUCGCUUUCUAACCUUCCCGUCUGUAAAGAUGCCGAAAAAGAUGAAGCUGACAUCAGUAUCAGAAUUCACUGACUCAGGGAAAGGGAGAAAUCUGGUCGAAACUAUAAAUAACAAAGGAAAGUAUGACAAAAGCUUCUUUCUUUCCCUUGGCAUUAGAGAUGUUAAUCACUUGCCUUAUUUUAUGUCAUUCAACAGAACAUUUUCAAAUACUAUUAUGGUGCCAAUCAAGUUGAGGCAUCAUUUUCAGACCAGUCAGAAUUUAAAAGAAAGGGAAUUUAAUACUUUCAACAUAGAGAUGAUAUGCUUUAUAAAAGCCAAAGCUUUUGUAUUACCAUUUUCAAAGUAAAAAUGAAAAACCUACUGAAGCAUCUUACACAUGAAAUUAUUAUAUUUCAUUGAUAGGAGAAGGACAUGCAAUAGCUAAAAGACUAAUGAAUGCCUGCUAGCUGAUAAUCAGUAAAAGAACUCAUGGGAGUGCUACUUUCCAAAGAUGCAAUAACUCACCAAAUUAGACAUUUAGUUGCAGGCCAGGCGAGGUGGCUCAUGCCUGUAAUCCCUGAAUUUUGGGAGGCCAAGGCAGGCGGAUAACUUGAGAUCAGGAGUUUGAGACCAACCUGGCCAAUAUGGUGAAACCCUGUCUCUACUAAAAAUACAAAAAAAAAAAAUUAGCUGGGCAUGGUGGUACAUGCCUGUAAUCCCAGUUAUUCGGGAGGCUGAGGCUGGAGAAUCACUUGAACCUGGGAGGCAGAGGUUACAGUGAGCUGAGAUGGUGCCACGGCACUCCAGCCUGGACAACAGAGCAAGACUGUCUCAAAAAAAAGAAAGAAAUUUAGUUGCAAAUAUAAAGACUGAGUUACUAUGUCAUCUGCAGAAUUAUAAUUCCUUUAAAAUGGACAUAAUUAUUCAUGUAGCUGGACUUGUUGCUUUGCUUAUACCCAUCCAGUGUCAGCACCAACUAAUUCUUGAAGAUCCUCUUUUACAUAAAUCUUGACAAGAAACACAAGUGGUGAUGAAAUAAUGUAUUGAACAACUUCUUUGAAUCUCAUAGUUUAUCCUGGAACAAUACACUCAAUUUUUUUUAAGUCAGUUUCACUUAAGAAUAUCCUUGAUGAAGCAGUAAGAAUUCUUAAUUUUAUUAAAUUUCAGUCUUUGAGUGCACUUUUUAAAAAAUUUUUUUUGUGACAAAAUGGGAAGUACUCAUAAAGUACAACCUCAUAAAGUAUAAACUCUUAAAUCCUGAGGCUUUUCUUUUGGCCGGGUGUGGUGGCUCAGGCCUAUAAUCCCAGCACUUUGGGAGGCUGAGGCGGGCAGAGCACCUGAGGUCAGGGGUUCGAAACCAGCCUGGCCAACGUGGUGAAACCCCAUCUCUACUAAAAAUGCAAAAUUACCUGCGCGUGGUGGCACAUGCCUGUAAUCCCAGCUACUUGGGAGGCUGAGGCAGGAGAAUCACUUGAACCCGGGAGGCGGAGGUUGCAGUGAGCUGAGAUCGUGCCAUUGCACUUCAACCUGGGCAACAAGAGCGAAACUCCGUCUCAAAAAAAAAAAAAAGAAAAAGAAAAAAUUCUUGAGGCAUAACUGAGAUAAGAUAGUUUCUCAAGGAAAAGCAUUUGUAUCAUUGUUUAACUUGAAAGCUGAACCGGCCUGGCACAGUGGCUCAUGCUUGUAAUGCCAGCACUUUGGGAGGCCAAGGCGGGGGGAUCACGAGGUCAGGAGAUCAAUACCAUCCUAGUUAACACGGUGCAAAACCCGUCUCUACCAAAAAUACAAAAAAUUAGCCGGGCGUGGUGGCGGGCGCCUGUAGUCCCAGCGAUUCUGGAGGCUGAGGCAGGAGAAUGGCGUGAACCUGGGAGGCGGAGCUUGCAGUGAGCCUAGAUCACGCCACUGCACUCCAGCCUGGGCGACAGAGUGAGACUCCGUCUCAAAAAAAGAAAAGAGAAGGCCGGGCGCGGUGGCUCACGCCUGUAAUCCCAGCACUUUGGGAGGCCGAGACGGACGGA
rnacentral:lncRNA from 1 species